UGCGGAUGUGCUUGACGUGAUAUCGGAGCCGGAUCACAUUCUGUCGGUGGUAACGUUCCACCCCUCCCUUUUCGCAAUAAAAGUUUGCCUUUUUCUUUGAAAUUCAGCUUUACAUUGAUGCAAAUAUCCGACCCCAUUGCUUUUUCUUUGCAAAGAAAUCGAGAAUGGAUGAAUGAAAUGGGUCACCCAAGUAAGCAACACAAGAGGAUUGUUACAAAAAGCUCAAGACUUUUAAGGUGGUUCUGCCAGCAGUGGUACAAUGACGGAAGCAGACGACAGUUCCCGAUGUGCCUUACGCUCCCUAGGUGGCGCACAUCAAAUUUGCACCAAAAAUCCACUAGUUCUGGAUUAAAGAUGGACUCGUCUACCUGCACAAUGACUUCGUACGGACGCAGAAGGUCAAGGGGCUUCCUCGGUCCUCCCUCCUGCAGCUGUUGCACCAGAAGAAGAUUACGCUCUACUGUGGUCUUUUGUCGCGUCCACUGCAGGUACGAGUGCAGGAGCUGCAGCUCGCUGACUGGACCGCCAACAUUGCGGCCCGCUUCGGUCGUACGUAGCUCUUCACGUACCACCUACACACAUAAACAGGGUUAACUAC